GUGUGUAUAGCUCAAGUGGUAGAGCACAUGCUUAGCAUACAUGAGGUCCUGGGUUCAAUCCCCAGUACCUCCU
rnacentral:tRNA from 1 species